rnacentral:tRNA from 1 species
GCCCCCCAAGCAUCAAUGGUGAUGCGCCGCCCUCGUAGCGCGGAAUCGCCGGGUUCGAUCCCCGGGAGGGGCUC